UGAAAUGUCACUUAUGGAAUAUGUCUGCCUCACUCUGAGAGAAGAAGCCUAAAAGAUCAGCAUCUGAAUAGUGUGCAUCUCUCUAUGAAAAAUAUGAAGAAUCUCUUGUGGUUUAUUGAAGUUUGGUCCCUACUGCAAUGUGUGACAUGUCAGAUCUCCCUGACACAGCCUGGUACUGUCACUGUGAAGCCAUCAGAGGUUCUUCAGUUGACCUGUAAAGUGACCGGAGCCUCCCUCACUGACAGCUCUAAAGUACAUUCAGUUCAGUGGGUCCGCCAGCCUGCAGGGAAAGGGCUGGAGUGGCUGGGAGGGAUAUGGUACGAAGCCUCCCUGCACUAUUCCCAGUCUUUGCAGGGACGUGUCACAGUAUCAAGAGACACAAAUAAAGGAGAAGUUUAUUUAAAACUCACUGGAAUGAAACCAGAGGAAACUGCUCUAUAUUACUGUGCUACAGAAGCACAGUGGGACAUAUAUUAUGAAUGCAGGUGCAAAAAAUGUCUAGAUAUCUGGAAAACUAUAAAACUGGUUAUUUUAAACUAAUAUCACGAUUCUAUU